rnacentral:lncRNA from 1 species
CAUAUUGAAUCCUUAUCAGUGAGAGUUCAUCCAGAGUCAAAGAGCUAGAGAUGGUGUCUGGCGCAAAGACCAGACGGGUUUGUCUACGGAAUGAGGACUUUGAGGAACUGAGGCUGACGAACUCCUAGAACCACUAGAAGAGGAGAUAUCGGAAGAUAUUUUGGAUCAAAUGGAAACCACAAAAACUCCCGAAAAAAAAAUCAGAAAAAAUAGCAAACAAGCUCUCGAGGAAGCUGAACGAAUGGAAUAUGAAGAAGAAAGAACAGAAAAAUGGCAAGAAGUUUCAGAACUAAACUAGGUUGGCCCGAGGAGUGCGGGA